GGCUCCCAUCCCCUUGCCCCGGCUGAUCACUGGGCUGCUUGUGUGGUCCCCUUGUUAUCCUAAUCUUCUCACACAACUAGAUCUGAGUGAAACCGUCAAACCUCCUCAGCAAGUGCGCCAGGGAGCUUUGUUGGUCAUGAAAGAUGACUGGAAACGGAUUAGAGCGAGGUAGCGGGUCCUUUUGUUGGUUUUAGAUGAGAGAUUUCAUUCAUCAGCGCACCACUCCUGAGCAGAACUGCCAAAUAAGCAACGCACGGCAGUGUAGCCCCGCUUGUAAUCUAUCGCCGUCUGUCCAUUAUUCCAAACAUUGGAACUAGGACAAAGGGGAUUCAGUAAGAAUGAGCUCUAAAGUGUUUCAUGAACAGGAAUCCCAUAGGUGAGGAUAGGGGAUUUGGGGACUAUCUUUACAUUUUGCGCUGAUAAUCCAAAAGCACGUAAUAUUCUCGGUCGGGGAAUCAGUGUGAAGGGGAAAAAUAGGCGAAUGGAACAAGAAUGGAUAAAUUACCUGUUGCAGUCGUGGAACAGAGUUACAAACACCAGGACACUGCACCUCUCCUUUUUUUUCAAAAGUUUUAUGUUACGGUCCCUUGUCUGAAAUGCUGCCGAGACAGUCAUUAAAAAAAAUCUGAAAUAAUUUAUUCUUUAAUUACUCAAUUCACAGCUAAGGAAAAUCAAGGUGCUCUCUGCACAGUGCUGAAAGAACUAAUUGUUCCUUGUAGAUUUUCCACCCAAAGUCAAAUGUAGAAACAACUCAUACCUUAGAUGAUGUUAUAAAGCUACAAGGGGUUUUAAGUCAACACGGACUCUGUGUAAAUUGCACCUAUUGUGAUUUUUCCAAUCAGCG